UAAGUAGGACAAAUGAUCGCGGCCCGUUUAUCGGGGUGAGGAAAGUCCGGGCUUCACAGGGCAGGAUGCCGGAUAACGUCCGGUAGAGGCGACUCUAAGGAUAGUGCAACAGAAAUAUACCGCCCGGUAUAUGCCGGGUAAGGGUGGAAGGGCAGUGUAAGAGACUACCGCCUCUCUGGUAACAGAGGGGGCAUAUGUAAACCCCAUCCGAAGCAAGACCGAACAAAAGCGUUGACGUGGCCCGCCAGCUUUAGGUAGGUUGCUUGAGGCGGCUGGUAACAGUCGUCCUAGAUAGAUGAUCAUUCCGACUGUGGCUUGCUGCAGUUUAGACAUAACCCGGCUUAUCGUCCUGCUUAAAUC
rfam:Roseburia intestinalis XB6B4 draft genome.